rnacentral:lncRNA from 1 species
AGGUUUUGAACUUGGCAGGAAAAUGAAGGUUGGAAUAGUCACCCUGAUCAGCUCCAGGAAUUUAACAAAUUUAUCUUAGUCUCAUGUGGUGUAAAUGCCUGAAGUAACUAGGAAAAUAAAACUAACAUUCACACUUUUAAGGAAAAGGUACAGCAUUGAAGAGGCUUUCAGGGUAGGGCAUAACUGCAUUAUCUGAGCAUUCCCUAGGCUCCCAACCUUAGAUGCUAUCGCGCUGGGGAAACUUGGUGUGCUAGCUCUAAGGAACACCACGGAGCGUGGAGUGGAGUGGAGACACCAUGGCUAGGCUCUGUAAUCAGGUGGGGCCUCGAUUGUUCUUGUGCACAAAGCUGCACUGUUUGCCACCCUAAGCCAAAGACCUGUCAUGUUUUGACAAAUGCUGUACCCUAGUGUUCUUUUUGCUCAUUAUAAUAUCAUUAUAAUACCAAAACACACCUCCAUCCCAAAAGCUACCCGCCUCCAAGGUGCGACCACCCCUCACUGAGCAUGCGCUCUGAAUUUCUCGGAGUCUAUUACUUUAAACGGAGACGGGAAAACUUUACACCAAUCAUAACUAAGAUAUGCUUGACUAGAGCCACUCAAGCUCCACCUAAACGAUAGAAAAUAAUAUAAAUUGGCCCAAGAGAGAGGGGAUGUUAGGGAAGAUACCAUCGUCAGGGGAGAUACCAUCCCGAGGACAUACAACAUCCUUAGGACCUCCUGACUCCUGGGAUCAGUCGACGGGCUGAGCCUCUCUUCCCCCCCCCAUUGGGACGCCUUUGGGAGCUGAAGACUGAUGCCAGGAAUGUUCCCAAUCUUUUCCUUGGCUGAACAGUUUUUUUGUUUUUUUUUCCCAGUCUUUCCUAAAAUAUCAUGGUUUCAGCAGACGCCGAUGUGGGACAAUGAAAUCUAACAGCAGCUAACAUUGCUGAACACCAGAAAAAUGGUGCAAUUUGCCAGAAUGAACAUUCUGCAUAUUUGUAAGUAGCUAAAUCUGUUGGCUUUUUCUUCUUGUUCUUUUUUUUUUUUUUGUGGGACUUGAGUUUUUCAUUAUGAAAAAGAAGAAGAGAAGGAAUUAAAUAAAGAAGAGAAAGACAAAGAAAAAUGA